rnacentral:rRNA from 1 species
UACGUAGGUGGCAAGCGUUGUCCGGAUUUACUGGGCGUAAAGGGCGUGCAGGCGGUUUGUUAAGUGCAGGGUGAAAGCUCCCGGCUCAACUGGGAGAGGUCCUUGCAUACUGGCAAACUCGAGGGAGGCAGAGGAAAGUGGAAUUCCCGGUGUAGUGGUGAUAUGCGUAGAUAUCGGGAGGAACACCAGUGGCGAAGGCGGCUCACUGGCCCGGAACUGACGCUGAGGUGCGAAAGCGUGGGGAGCAAACAGG